GACGAACGCUGGCGGCGUGCUUAACACAUGCAAGUCGAACGCUGAAGCUUGGUGCUUGCUCUGGGUGGGUGAGUGGCGAACGGGUGAGUAAUACGUGAGUAACCUGCCCUUGACACUGGGAUAAGCUCGGGAAACUGGGGCUAAUACUGGAUAUGACAUGCCACUGCAUGGUGGUGUGUGGAAAGGGGUUUACUGGUUUUGGAUGGGCUCACGGCCUAUCAGCUUGGUGGUGUGGUAAUGGACUACCAAGGCAACGACGGGUAGCCGGCCUGAGAGGGUGACCGGCCACCCUGGGCCUGAGACACGGCCCAGUCUCCUACGGGAGGCAGCAGUGGGGAAUAUUGCACAAUGGGCGGAAGCCUGAUGCAGCGACGCCGCGUGCGGGAUGACGGCCUUCGGGUUGUAAACCUCUUUCAGCACGGAAGAAGCGAGAGUGACGGUACGUGCAGAAGAAGCGCCGGCUAACUACGUG
rnacentral:rRNA from 1 species